AUUGAACGCUGGCGGCAGGCUUAACACAUGCAAGUCGAGCGAGCGGCGGACGGGUGAGUAAUGUCUGGGAAACUGCCUGAUGGAGGGGGAUAACUACUGGAAACGGUAGCUAAUACCGCCUACCCUCCGAUGUGCCCAGCUGGGAUUAGCUAGUAGGUGGGGUAAUGUCUCACCUAGGCGACGAUCCAUAACGGUUCGGAGAGGAUGACCAGCAACAGUGGAACUGAGAAACGGUCCAUACUCCUACGGGAGGCAGCAGGGGGGAAUAUUGCACAAUGGGGGCAAGCCUGAUGCAGCCAUGCCGCGUGUGUGAAGCAGGCCUGCGGGUUGUAAAGCACUUUAAGCGAGGAGGCGUUACUCGCAGAAGAAGCAACGGCUAACUCCGUGCCAGCAGCCGCGGUAAUAC
rnacentral:rRNA from 1 species